rnacentral:rRNA from 1 species
GACGUUACCUACAGAAGAAGCACCGGCUAACUCCGUGCCAGCAGCCGCGGUAAUACGGAGGGGUGCGAGCGUUAAUCGGAAUUACUGGGCGUAAAGCGCAUGCAGGCGGCCUGUUAAGUCAGAUGUGAAAGACCCGGGGCGUCAACCUCGGAAUAGCAUUUGAAACUGGCAGACUAGAGUACUGUAGAGGGGGGUAGGAAUUUCAGGUGUAGCGGUGAAAUGCGUAGAGAUCUGAAGGAAUACCGGUGGCGAAGGCGGCCCCCUCGGACAGAUACUGACACUCAGAUGCGAAAGCGUGGGGAGCAAACAGGAUUAGAUACCCCUGGUAG